rnacentral:rRNA from 1 species
AUACGUAGGGGGCGAGCGUUGUCCGGAAUGAUUGGGCGUAAAGGGCGCGUAGGCGGCCCGGUAAGUCUGGAGUGAAAGUCCUGUUUUUAAGAUGGGAAUUGCUUUGCAUACUGUCGGGCUUGAGUGCAGGAGAGGUAAGUGGAAUUCCCAGUGUAGCGGUGAAAUGCGUAGAGAUUGGGAGGAACACCAGUGGCGAAGGCGACUUACUGGACUGUAACUGACGCUGAGGCGCGAAAGUGUGGGGAGCAAACAGGAUUAGAUACCCUGGUAGUCCACACUGUAAACGAUGAAUGCUAGGUGUAGGGGGUAUCGACCCCUUCUGUGCCGCAGUCAACACAAUAAGCAUUCCGCCUGGGGAGUACGGCCGCAAGGUUGAAACUCAAAUGAAUUGACGGGG